GUGACCUUACUCGGAUGCAGCAUGUCAGCCCUACACACCUGGUUGCCUUUAUUUGGUUGAUAUCUUAUCUGCAAUAAGAAUGGAGGAAACAGAGACAAUGCACAUGGCCUCGUGAUCAAGUUCAACGAAUGUGUGAAUGCCACAGACAAGUGAGCCUUCAACCCUCUCCACAAGGCAGCUCAGAAGGCUGAUGAUAUGUGCCCUGUUUAUGGACACUAUGCCCCCAGAUGCAGAGAAGAGGGAUCACCAGCUCAGCUCAUCAAACUGUCCAAUUUUUACAGGGGACAACAGACUUGAUCGAGGUCUUCACGGUCCAAAAAGCCUGGUAAAUGACCUGAUAAAUCCUACCCCCGCAAACCUAUGUGAACUUUUACGUUUGCGGCAUAUUUCAGAGAUAAAAUAACCAACAUUAGGUGGGUUAACAGUCAAGCAAGACCUGAUGUGAAGUUUGAUAUGUGCCCUAGCCGACCACUGGUUGACACGAACAUGCUGACACAUGCUGACACAACGAAAGUGAUAUCACAACUUGAGCUUUUGACCUGCCUUCUCAAUCCUAUCCCCACCACCUUCUUCAAAACUGUUUUUAAUUGCAUACCUGAAGAAGUGCAAGCUAUUGUUAAUCACUCCCUUGUUAAUCACUUCCUAAAAACUGCUAUGGUGAAACCCCUUCUGAAGAAAAGAAACCUAGAUUCUUCAGCUCUUGUCUAUUUUCAGCCAAUCUCCAUCCUUACAUUCUUAAGCAAAAUUCUGGAGAAAUGUGUUUACGAACAGCAAAGUUAUUUUAGUGCCAACUGUAUUUGAAUUUUUUGUUGUUGAAAAAUUCCAAUAUGGUUUUCGGGCCCACCCCAGCACAGAGACUGCCUUAGUUAAAGUGGUAAAUGAUCUUAGAGCCAACACAGAUGCCAAACAAAUCUCUGUCUUUGUACUCUUGGAUUUAAGUGCCGCAUUCGACACUGUUGACCAUGAUGUCCUUCUGGGCAGACUGGAGUGAUGGGUUGGCCUCUACGGUCCAGUUCUAAAUUGGUUUAGGACCUAUUUAACUGGUCAAGAGUUGUUGUUUUUUAUCACCCUUUGUGACAAAAAAUGAUGCCGAAGGAGAUGGCUGCCGUUUUACGAUCCCGUAACCAAUUGUGCGGUUGUGUAUGUUUUUUCGUAUUCUUUUUAAAGUUAUUUUGUACAUAGUGUUUCAGCCACCGUGUCUUAUGACCAAAAAGAGCUUCUAGAUAUCAAAACAGUGAUUACUCACCCCAUACUGGAGGAAUACUUUUUCUUCAACAAGUCUGAAGGGAAUGAUUUACUUCAGACACCCCACAAGGCCCUCAUCCCCAUAAUUCGCAGGAGAAAGAGACGGAAGUAUCGUGGACGAAGACCCAGGUGCCUUGUUAGUAUCCGCCGCUGAGAUGGUAAUCUACCUUUACCAUCCGUCCUAUUAGCCAAUGUACAAUCAAUCCAUAAUAAAAUAGACAAACUAUGA